rnacentral:rRNA from 1 species
ACGGCCAUGCCACCUUGAACAUGCCAGAUCUCGUCUGAUCUCGGAAGCUAAACAGGGUCGGGCCUGGUUAGUACUUGGAUGGGAGACCACCUAGGAAGACAAGGUGCUGUAGGCG